CAGGGACCCCCCUCUGCCCGGGGGGGAGCUCGGGGUAUUCCCCUUUAAAGGCCAAUCCCCCAUGCGGGCUCUGGGGUUGGGGUUCCCGCACCUUUGGGCUGUGCCAGGACGGGGGUGCGGUGCCUUUUGGGGUGCUCGAACCCCGCUUUGCGCGGUGUUUUUGUCUCGUUUUAUCCCUAAGGCAUUUGGGGAGCCCCGCCGGGAGUGGGGGAGCCCCGCGGGUCCGGAGGCUGCGGCUGCUGCAGCGCCAAAGUAGGUUAAAAUAAGGAGUGGGGAGGAGGAAAAGUAGGUUAAGGAAUACUCAGCUGGGAAAAAAGGUAGCAGCCGUGUCGGGUCUCUCUCUUCUUUUUUCCCCCGUUUUUUAUUUUUUGCCGGAGCUGGAAAAUGCCAGGGCUCGGAGCCAAGGAGCCGGGAUGCUGCGGGAUGCUGCGGGGCCGGGACGUGCCGCUGCCGGGGUCGAGCGCCGCCCCAGCGCUCCCUGGGGAUGCUUGGACUUUAAUUCUGGAAUUUCGUGGCGUCCCGGUCGUUGCCACCGCUCCCCCGGGAGUGCGAUAUGCCGAGUUUCGCUCCAUCUGCCGGCCAAUCCCUCCUUGUCCCGGGCAGUCUCCAGCAGCUGCUCCCCGAAGUUUUCCCGAACAGUUGCUCCUUUUUCCCUCCGUUUGUUGCAGGAGCCUCGGCUGAAACCCUGUUCCCCCUCGGGGAGGGGAAGCCCUGGCUGGAAUCCCGGCGGCAGCUUUGGGUUACAGAUUCUAUUACGGGGAGCUGGGAAUGCACGGCUCAUGUGAUCCGGAGGGAUCUGGAGAGGUUUCCAACACCGAGUGGCCUCUCCUGCUGUGUUGGCAUUGGUACAGAGGUCAGGUGGGGUUCGGGGCCUGGAGUGUCCCCAAAAACAGCCGGCUCUGGCACUGUGGGGUUGUAUUCUGUCGGUUUGAGGAGUGCAUCAGGGCAGCUGGGGAUUUGUGCCUGCAUACCCCAUCCCCGCUUGGGAUGGCCCCAAAAAGCGGGUGCUGAGCCCUUGGCAAAGCUCCAGUGCCAAGCAGGAGCUGGCACCCUCUGCUCCCUGCAGCUCCUGCAUCCCUAUGGCAGCGUUUUGUUCAUCUGAGGGAUGCCCUUAAUCCCUGGAUUAAGCUUGGCCUCAAAUCAGCUUUACCCCUGCUCCUGGUGGUGGUUAGAUCCAGUUAUGCUGAUCUGGAAUGCUCGUGGUCCCUCAGCCACGGUGGGACCUUCCUGUCCCCUCCUGAGGCCAUUUCUUCCCCAGACAUCUCAGUCUGGGAGGAAACUGGAGUACAGAGGAUGCUCAUUUUUGGGUCCUGCUCAUUCUGGAUGUCCCAACCCACAUCCUAUAAACACCCAGCUCACCCCAGGACCCCCCUCAUGUGGGAUUAGCUGCAUCUCAGCGUGGUGCUGGCCACUAAUUAGGAGAAACUCGUCAGGCCCAGGCUGUAAUGAGGCUCCGCCAGGGCUCUCACAGGACCGUGACGACCUGGGGGGAAUUUCCAUGCAGGCAGCAGGAUUUCCAUGCGGGCGGCAGGAUUUCCAUGCGGAGGCUGGAUCCGGGUUUGGGUUAUUAUUUACUUUUCCUUCCUUCCUCUGUGCUGUCAGCAUAGAUUUUAAUUUUAGCAACCAAUUGCUGAGCUCGAAGAGGGGGGGAUGAGGCUCUGGGAAACACCUCUUGCUUUGUUCAUGUUGUUAUUUAAAUAUUUUAAAAUUGUUUUUAGUGACUUCAUUUCCUUGUGACAGAUGCAAAAGGAUUUCCUCUGGAGCAGGAAAAAAACCUUUCUUUAACUUGGUUUAGCAUCAUCUGCUCCUUGCAUGAAUGGUGUGAGGCCUCUCCAAGGUGAUGAAGAGGAGCAGGUGAUGAAGAGGAGUGGGAUGCACUGGUGGCUUGUCACCGUCCUGGGGGUGCUGAGCGGACCUGCCCGGGGAACCGGGAGCUGCAGCGCCCC